rnacentral:tRNA from 1 species
GGGCCUCCAGCUCACGCUGGUCAGAGCAGUGGACUCUUAAUCCGUAGAUCGAGUGUUCGAGUCACUCACGCCCCACCA